UACGGAGGAUCCGAGCGUUAUCCGGAUUUAUUGGGUUUAAAGGGUGCGCAGGCGGAAGAUUAAGUCGGUGGUGAAAUUUUGCAGCUCAACUGUAAAAGUGCCAUUGAUACUGGUUUUCUUGAGUGUGGAUGAAGUAGGCGGAAUUUGUGGUGUAGCGGUGAAAUGCAUAGAUAUCACGAGGAACUCCGAUUGCGCAGGCAGCUUACUAAACUACUACUGACGCUCAUGCACGAAGGCGUGGGGAUCAAACAGGAUUAGAUA
rnacentral:rRNA from 1 species